rnacentral:pre_miRNA from 1 species
CAACCACUACAAUCUGGAAUCUGGUAUGGGUUGAAGUAGCACCUCUCCCUGGCUAGGCUGCUGCUUCUUCUUAUAGGAUCCGUUGCAAUGGCCAACUGAGGUGUUAUUUCAACCCCUACCGGGCUCCAAUAGGGUUG